UUGAAAGGGAAACGAUUGAAGUCAGUCGUACCUGCGGGUAAUCAGCCUUUUGGGCAUGAUUCUGUGGAGCGUGAGGAGUUAAACGCCUUCAUGCCUGCAUAUUCGUGUACAUUGGGUGUACUUGCCUGUGUGGUUAGUUAACAUCAAUUUUGGUUAUCAUAAAAUGGUUGGAGGAAUGUAGCUUCGAUUUCGAUUGAAGUGUUAUAGCCUUCGGCAGAUGUGAUGAUCGGGAUUGAGGAUUGCAACGGAUACCCUUCGGGGCUACCUGUCUGGUCUCUGAUCGUUGCUCUGGUGCCGAAAGCGUGCUUACGGUUAUCAAAGUCGAUGGUCAAUAGGUUAGAACGUGAUUACAUUCGUUAAGGAUGUUGACGUA
rnacentral:rRNA from 1 species